GACGGUUUCACCGUGUUGGCCAGAGUGGUCUCGAACUCCUGACCUUAGGUGACCCACCCGCCUCAGCUCACAAAGUGCUGGGAUUACAGGCGUCAGCCACCAUGCCCAGCCGUGUUUUUCUUUUAAGUAAUUUAUAGUUAGCACUUAUUAAACACCCUCUGGAUACCAGAUGAUUUACAUACAUUAUCACAAUCUUCAAAAAGCCCCCAUAAGAUAGGUAGUGAAGUUUCCACAGCCACACGACUACCAAGUGGCAGAACUGAGAUAAUAAGUAAAACUGAAGAAGAAUGAUGUGGUUGGCAAUGUCAAAUCAUUUCAUGAUUUUUUUUUUCUAUUUAUAAUGUGCCUGGGAGGACUCUGGCCUUGCUUGGUGUACCAAACAGCCCCAUUUGGAGCAGGGACUGGUGGGAGGGAGUAGUGAACCUCUUCUUAACCAUGUAAAUGUAGGAUUAUACAGAAUCCUACAGAAUAGGAUUAACCAUGCUGCAUACUAGGGCACAAAUACGAACAAAGUACUAUCCUGUCUUCCAGGAGGUUUCCGUCUGGCGGUAAACCAACAUGUAAAGAAUAAUUACAAAGCAAUGUUGUAAGUGCUAUAGCAGAAGUCCUGGAACAGAGGCGGGAGUAGCUAUCAGCUACAAAACAAACCAUUGAAGAAAGCAGCCUUAUUUGGAAUAUCAGUCAAUAACAGUGGAUUUGUCAAUUUUACCUUUAAAAUGUAACAUCUAAGUGAAGAUUUUAAAAGUUAAAAAAAAAAAGCAUAUACUCUUCCCCCAAACCCUACUCCUCAAAAAGACACUAGACUUGUAAAAUUGUACAGAUGAAUUUUAUCAAACUAAGGAACCCCUUUCUUAAAUUGUUUCAGAGAUUAGAAAAGGAAUAAUUACAUUUCUUUUGAGACUUAUAAAAUCUCAAUGUUUAAAACUUUAUAAAGAUAGUAUAAGAGAAAAAGUUAUAGCUUUGUCUCAUUUAUCAACAUAGAAAAAUCAUAUAUAUAUAUUUUAAAAGAGAUGGGGUCUCACUGUCACACAGGCUGGAGUGCUGGGCUGUGAUCACAGCUCACUGUAGCUUCGAAUUCCUGGGCUCAAGUGAUCCUUCCAUCUCAGCUUCAUGAGUGGUGCCUGGCCCCCAUGUUUAAAAUAUAACAGCAAUGGCAUGAAAAAUGAACUGGAUGACCCAUGACUCUAUAACGGUUAUAUAUGAAAAAACAGAUCCCUGUAUUACACACAAAAUAAAUUCAAGGUGGAUUAAAUAUCUGAAUAUGAGACAGCAUGGCGGCUCACACCUGUAUUGCCAGCACUUUGGGAGGUCGAAGUGGAAGGAUCCCUUGAGGCCAGGAGUUUGAGCCCUGGGCAACGUAGUGAGACACUGUCUCUACAAAAAAUUUAAGAAUUAGCUGGGCCUCGUGGUGCAGGCCUAUAGUCCCAGCUACUGAGGAGGCUGAAGUGGGAAGCUCAGGUGAUGAGCCCAAGGAGUUUAAGGUUGCAGUGAGCUAUGAUUGUGCCACUGCACUUCAGCCUGGGUGACCCUGUUGCGAAAAACAAAAACAGGCCACGAACAGUGGCUCAUGCCCGUAAUCCCAGCACUUUGGGAGGCUGAGGUAUGUGGAUCACUUGAGGUCAGGAGGUCAAGACCAACCUGGUCAACA
rnacentral:lncRNA from 10 species